UGCCCUAUCGCCAAAUGGUAAGGCACCUGUCUCUGGAACAGGCAUUCUGUAGGUUCGAGUCCUGCUAGGGCAGCCA
rnacentral:tRNA from 1 species